rnacentral:rRNA from 1 species
UACGUAGGGUGCAAGCGUUGUCCGGAAUUAUUGGGCGUAAAGAGCUCGUAGGCGGCUUGUCGCGUCGGCUGUGAAAACCUGGGGCUCAACCCCGGGCCUGCAGCCGAUACGGGCAGCUAGAAUUCGGUAGGGGAGACUGGAAUUCCUGGUGUAGCGGUGAAAUGCGCAGAUAUCAGGAGGAACACCGGUGGCGAAGGCGGGUCUCUGGGCCGAAAUUGACGCUGAGGAGCGAAAGCCAGGGGAGCAAACGGG